rnacentral:rRNA from 1 species
GGCCUACGGGGCGCAGCAGUGGGGAAUAUUGGGCAAUGGGCGCAAGCCUGACCCAGCAACGCCGCGUGAAGGAAGAAGGCUUUCGGGUUGUAAACUUCUUUUGUCAGGGACGAAGCAAGUGACGGUACCUGACGAAUAGGCCACGGCUAACUACGUGCCAGCAGUCGCGGUAAUACGUAGGUGGCAAGCGUUAUCCGGAAUUAUUGGGUGUAAAGGGUGCGUAGGCGGGAUGUAAAGUCAGAUGUGAAAUGCCGCAGCUUAACUGCGGAGCUGCAUUUGAAACUUAUGUUCUUGAGUGAAGUAGA